rnacentral:rRNA from 1 species
UGUCUUUUUGAGAAUAAUAUAAGGUCUAAUCUGCCCACUGAUUUAAAUUGAAGGGCUGCAGUAUAUUGACUGUACAAAGGUAGCAUAAUCAUUAGUCAUUUAAUUGAUGACUUGUAUGAAGGAUUGGAUGAAAUAUAAACUGUCUCUUUAUUAAUAAUAGAAUUUAAUUUUUUAAUUAAAAAGUUAAAAUAUUUUAAAAAGACGAGAAGACCCUAUAGAGUUUUAUAAAUAAAAUAAUUAAGAUUAUUUAAUUUAAUAAAAUUAAGAUUAUAUUAUUUAUUUUGUUGGGGUGACAGAAAAAUAUAUUUAACUUUUUUUUUAUUUAAAACAUUUAUAAGUGGUUAAAUGAUCCAAUAUUAUUGAUUAUAAGAAAAAAUUACCUUAGGGAUAACAGCGUAAUUUUUUUUUUUAGUUCAAAUAAGAAAAAGAGUUUGCGACCUCGAUGUUGGAUUAAGAUAAAAUUUAAAUGCAGAAG